CUUUUAUCCAGAGAUGGCGGAGGGACAGGCCCGAAGAAGCCCAGCAACCAACACGUAACGUGUAAAGGUGCUAACCUGCAGAAUGCUCGGCGUUCUGGAAGAUAAGAG
rnacentral:ncRNA from 2 species